AUGCGUAAGGCCUUCCCCCAGCGCUGCCAUUGAGGAGCAUUGACUCAGUGAGCAGAAGAGGUUUGUUUGAAACAGGCCGCAAUGGAGAGACCAGCGCCCAGGGAAGCGAGGGAACAGCAGGGUCCUUCCAGCAGCGCAUCGAGAUGAAAAUACUUGCAGGAACAAGACAAUGUAAUACUUGGCCAAUACAAAGCUAAGGGUAACCAGCUGCUUCUAACAAACAACAGGAGGAAUAAAUUUGAAAUACACAAUCAGAUGAGUGACUGCCCAAUCCAGAACCAAACUUGCUAUCAUAACCUGUACAGAGACUCAAUAUUUAUGGACUUUAACCAAACAGCAUCUACAGAGUCAGAGACUGACAAAGAAAAACACUUGAAGGACCAAGACAAAGUAAGAUUUCUUCAGUACAACGGCAAGUGUGACCAGAUCCUUCUGACAAACAGCAGGUAUGUUCCCACUGUCAGAGCAGAGAACAUCCUUUCCACAGUCACAGAGCAGAUUGAGUCAGACACACAGUGAGCUUAAUUUCCAACAGAUAUGUUCAAACAAACAGUAAAACAACGUUGAGGAAAUGAAACUUUAUUUUUCUUAUCUCUCCAUUCCAAAUGCACAGUUCCAACAAAUUUCAGAAUUCAUCACCCAUUGACUUUUACACCAUUUUGAAGAUGGAUAGACUGAAAUUAUACACUCAGUAUCUGAAUGAAAUCCACAUAAAAUUACUCUCAUAGCAACUAUCACAUAAUGAAUCACACCUCCACCGAUAAUAUUCCUGGCUGCUGACAAUUAAGCCAGUUUUACAAGUAGAAAAUGACCGGUAUGGAUUGAUACCUAACCUCACUGAUUUGUAUUGCAAAUGCUUACAAAAAAAAUGAUGACGAGACUCACAUUGACAUUGCAGAAACGGACAGCUAAAGAUUAAUAAAGAUAUUCACACAUUCACAUCAUAGCAACUGGUAUGCACACGUUCGUAAACAACACUCACAUUCACAUAGCAAACUGACAGCAACUGAACGGUAGCUACUUUCACAUAUCCACACAGCAGAAACUGGCAGCUACAUAUUGAUGACAACUCCCAAUUUCAUAGACCACAAAGUGACAGGUACAGAUUUGUAACUGCAAUCACAUAUCCACAGAUUAAAAAAAAACUGACUGUUACAGUUUGAUGACUAUACUCAAAUAUUCACAACGUAUAUUCCCACAGGUACACAUUGAUAACUUUACUGGCAAAUUUUGAGGUACUGACUGGUACAGGUGCUCGACAUGCACAUAUCCAUACGUAAGAAAUUGAUAGGAACUGAUUGACGAUAACCUUAGAGAUAGCAAGAGCUGCAGAUGCUGGAGUCAGCCUUCCCAGUUUUACAAAGCAUUAGCUGACAGGUACGGUUUGGUAACUACUCUCAUAUUCACAGAGUAGAAGCCGACAGGCUGUUAUUGAUAGCUGCACACAUGGUCACCAAGCAGAAACUCAGAGAUUGAUAACAGUGACAUUGAAAUUGCAGAAACUGGCAGCUCCCCA